GACGAACGCUGGCGGCGUGCUUAACACAUGCAAGUCGAACGGAAAGGCCCCUUUUGGGGUGCUCAAUUGGCGAACGGGUGAGUAACACGUUAGUAACCUGCCCUUGACUUCGGGAUGACUUCACGAAACUGGGGCUAAUACCGGAUAGGAAUGCUUGCUGCAUGGUUGGGGUUGGAGAGCUUCGCCGGUGUGGGAUGAACUCGCGGCUUAUCCGCUUGUUGGUGGGGUAUUGGCUUACCAGGGCGUGGACGGGGAUCCGGCUUGGGGGGGUGACCUGCCCCUUGGGACCUAGAUACGGCCCAGACUCCUUAGGGGAGCAAGAGGUGGGGAUGUUGCAAAAUGGGGGGAAGCCUGAUGCAGCAACGCCGCGUGCGGGAUGACCGCCUUCGGGUUGGAAACCGCCUUCAGCAGGGGCGAAGCUUGUGGUGACGGUACCUGCAGAAGAAGCACCGGCUAACUACGUG
rnacentral:rRNA from 1 species